AGAACGAACGCUGGCGGCAUGCCUAAUACAUGCAAGUCGAACGAACUCUUCGGAGUUAGUGGCGCACGGGUGCGUAACGCGUGGGAAUCUGCCCCUUGGUUCGGAAUAACAGUUGGAAACGACUGCUAAUACCGGAUGAUGACGAAAGUCCAAAGAUUUAUCGCCAAGGGAUGAGCCCGCGUAGGAUUAGCUAGUUGGUGAGGUAAAGGCUCACCAAGGCAACGAUCCUUAGCUGGUCUGAGAGGAUGAUCAGCCACACUGGGACUGAGACACGGCCCAGACUCCUAGGGAGGCAGCAGUAGGGAAUA
rnacentral:rRNA from 1 species